rnacentral:rRNA from 1 species
GAUGAACGCUGGCGGCGUGCCUAAUACAUGCAAGUCGAGCGAAUGGAUUGAGAGCUUGCUCUUAUGAAGUUAGCGGCGGACGGGUGAGUAACACGUGAGUAACCUGCCCAUAAGACUGGGAUAACUCCGGGAAACCGGGGCUAAUACCGGAUAACAUUUUGAACCGCAUGGUUCGAAAUUGAAAGGCGGCUUCGGCUGUCACUUAUUGAUGGACCCGCGUCGCAUUAGCUAGUUGGUGAGGUAACGGCUCACCAAGGCAACGAUGCGUAGCCGACCUGAGAGGGUGAUCGGCCACACUGGGACUGAGACACGGCCCAGACUCCUACGGGAGGCAGCAGUAGGGAAUCUUCCGCAAUGGACGAAAGUCUGACGGAGCAACGCCGCGUGAGUGAUGAAGGCUUUCGGGUCGUAAAACUCUGUUGUUAGGGAAGAACAAGUGCUAGUUGAAUAAGCUGGCACCUUGACGGUACCUAACCAGAAAGCCACGGCUAACUACGUGCCAGCAGCCGCAGUAA